GUUACAAACACUCCUUCAGGAAAUUAAAUGUCUACCAUUAUGGGUGAAGUUCUGUUUUAAACCACAAGGAUACAAAGAUGAACAUGAUGGUCUCUGAUCUCAGGGAACUUUAUUAUGAUCCAGGAACAAGAUGUACAGGUAAUAUCAAUAUAUUAACCACAGGGAAUGCUAUGACCUUUUUAGAAAUCACAACUUACUUCCCUUAAAUCCUCAGACAUGUUUUUAGAAUGUUGAUUAAUUUUUUCGCUGUUUAUGGAAUAGGUUUGAUUUCAUCAAACAAUACAGUUAAAACAAAAAUUUGGUUCAAUUGGUAGAGUAAUCUAUAAUAAGACUCAAAACAAAGUAUGUUUCUUCUUGAAUUAAGAGCCUUCCUAAUUUUGGCUUUAUUCCUCAAAGGUUGUGAAGAUGAGAAAAGAAGCGAAGAGAAUCCGAGCUUUGGUUAUCCGAAGAUUUGUCAGGAGUGUGAGCAGACUGAAGUCAGAAAAGGGUACUGAAGAUGCACUGUUAAAAAACCAGAGACAGGCACGAUCGCUUGAAGAAAUCCAUGCCAUGAAGGGCCUCACUCUCUCUCACUGGUGUGUUGUCUUUAGAAGGUUCUGGACACGUCUGAAGAAUGGUUGGCAAAUGCAGCUGGAAUGCCCAUCAUUUCUACAGUUUAUUAAUUCACCUGCAGAAGGACACCUUGAUUUCUUCCAAGUUUUGGCGGUUAUGAAUAAAGCUGCUAUAAAAACUGUGGGCAGGUUUUUAUGUGGACAUAACUUUUCAACACCUGAGGGUAAAUAUGAAGCACAGU